ensembl:lncRNA
CUAUAACAAACAGAGCACGGUCAGAUUACUUCCCACUCUUUCCUCAGAUAUAAUACGUAAGUAUUAUUACAAAUGAGGAAGAAACUAUUCUAAAACCAUUACAGUAUGAUUAUUUUACCCCAUCUAUAUUGCACCAUGAGCCUCAGACGUCAGGUUCUGGUGGGUGGGUUGACUCACUUUUGUGUUUACGUGUGGUGUCAAACAUUAUCUUCUUUUUUUUUCACUCAGGUGUAUUUUAGUCCUGUGGUCGCACAGUUCCAACUAAACUUCCUGUCCUCUUCCUCGUCAUUCAGUGCGUCAUAAGCGUCGUUGCUGCAGAUAUAAUGCAAACAAAUCCUGUUAAAUCUGCUGUCUCUGUCUGUUCACCUUUACUCUAAAACUCAAAUCAGCUCAUAUUAGUUCUUAAACUGCAAGUACUACCCCUGUGCACAGUGAGACAUGCUAAAAACUAUGUAUAAUAUUAAUAUAGGAUGUGAUUAUUAACAGGAUGUAUGUUUUAGAUAGAGAGGAAGUGUGUGUUGUGGUUUUGGGUGGUGUGUGAGUUCAUCGUCAUGCCAACAACCCAGAUACAGAUCUCAACUGGUACGAUGAAGAUUCCUCGUGUCUGAGGUUCUCAUUUUGACCUGAUGUUCAACUCUGACUGAAGGAGGUGUCAUUAGUCAGUGCCGGAGACUCCCUCCACAUUAUCUGUGGAGCUAAAAACUGACGAGCUGAUUCAACAGAUGUAAAAAAGAUCAAUUAUAGGGAAGUAACACUCAUAACAGGAAGUAAAUGCUGUAUCUGUCUUAAAGAAGCAUUCGUUCAGAGACUUUGACAGUUGAGGGCGUGAGAACAAGAGAUAACGAGAAGCAAGAUGGUUCAAUUCAAAUGGAUUAAAAUGUCUUUAUUUGUGAUACUGGUGCUUCUGUUUACAGUAACUGGACAAAACUCCUCCUUCACUGUCAGAGUUGGAGAUGAAGUCACUUUGCCUUGUGAAAAUGUGAUUAAAAAUCAGGACAAAUGUGACAGUACCUCUUGGAUUGGCAGUCAGCCAUCUGGGGGAACAGCAAGAGAGCUGGUUACUCUUGGGAAGAUUAGUCAAACUGGGAUUUCCAAAGAUAUAUCAGACAGACUGAGUGUUACAGCGAACUGUUCUCUGGUUAUAAAGAAGGUCACAGACAAGGAUGUUGGUCGUUACAGCUGCAGACAGUUUAUAUCAGAACAACAACAAGGUCCAGACUCUCUGGUUUAUCUGUCUGUUAUUAACAUUGAGAAACAACAGUACAAUGAUACAGUCAUCUUGCUCUGCGCUGUGUUGACAUAUGGACGCUGUGGACACACAGUGAAGUGGCUGUAUGAUGAAAAAGAUAAGAAUGUGUUGGACACAUUAGAUACUGUCUGUUCAUCAAAGGUGACAUUAACAACUCAUCUCAAUCAGAAGUCAAACUAUUAUGAGUUAUUUAAGUGUAACGUGACAGAUAAUAAGAGAGGACAAACGCUGCUGUGUGAUGUCGGUUCCCAGUCCUCAUGUGAGAGAACAGGAAGCAAAGGGAAUAAUAAGACUGCAGAGGAUGACACUUCAACACAAGACUGGUGGAGGUUCCUCAUUGUGUCUGUGGGUUUAGCAGCACUCCUAACAAUUGUUGUAGCGGUCAACAUAUGGACAAAAACUAAAGGUGAGAACAUUCACAGAUGA